GGCCUAACACAUGCAAGUCGAGGGGUAGAAGAAGCUUGCUUUUUUGAGACCGGCGCACGGGUGAGUAACGCGUAUGCAACCUACCUUAUACAGGGGAAUAGCCCGAAGAAAUUCGGAUUAAUGCUCCAUGGUUUAUCGAUAUGGCAUCGUAUUGAUAAUAAAGAUUUAUCGGUAUAAGAUGGGCAUGCGUAUCAUUAGCUAGUUGGUGUGGUAACGGCAUACCAAGGCGACGAUGAUUAGGGGUCCUGAGAGGGAGAUCCCCCACACUGGUACUGAGACACGGACCAGACUCCUACGGGAGGCAGCAGUGAGGAAUAUUGGUCAAUGGAGGCAACUCUGAACCAGCCAUGCCGCGUGCAGGAUGACGGUCCUAUGGAUUGUAAACUGCUUUUGUACAGGAAGAAACCUCCCUACGUGUAGGGACUUGACGGUACUGUAAGAAUAAGGAUCGGCUAACUCCGUGCCAGCAGCCGCGGUAAUACGGAGGAUCCGAGCGUUAUCCGGAAUUAUUGGGUUUAAAGGGUUCGUAGGCGGCUUUGUAAGUCAGUGGUGAAAUUUCCUAGCUUAACUAGGACACGGCCAUUGAUACUGCAGAGCUUGAAUAAUAUGGAAGUAACUAGAAUAUGUAGUGUAGCGGUGAAAUGCUUAGAUAUUACAUGGAAUACCAAUUGCGAAGGCAGGUUACUACGUAUUUAUUGACGCUGAUGAACGAAAGCGUGGGGAGCGAACAGGAUUAGAUACCCUGGUAGUCCACGCCGUAAACGAUGGAUACUAGCUGUUCGGUUUUCGGACUGAGUGGCUAAGCGAAAGUGAUAAGUAUCCCACCUGGGGAGUACGUUCGCAAGAAUGAAACUCAAA
rnacentral:rRNA from 1 species